rnacentral:rRNA from 1 species
UACAUAACUAUUUUUGGUUGUGCUAGUUUUAAACUAUAUUUUGUAUUACCAUUAGUCUAAUAUUUUUAAAAAAGUAAUUUAAACAACUUUUGACAACGGAUCUCUAGGCUCUUACAACGAUGAAGAACGCAGCGAAUUGCGAUAAGUAAUGUGAAUUGCAGAAUUCCGUGAAUCAUCAAAUCUUUGAACGCACAUUGCACCUUGAGGUAUUCCUCAAGGUAUGCCUGUUCGAGAAUCAGUAAAAUCAUCAAAGCUAGUAUUGCGAAAUGCUAGUUUUGGAGUUGGGAUUUGUUGGACGUUUGUCAGACAUUCCUUAAUAUUAACUGUUGCCUUGCACUCUACUUGUUGGUGUAAUAUGCAUGACCAUUGAGCUUCGGCUCUUCUGAUUGUACUUGCGCAUUAACAUGGCAGUUUGUUAGCGAACAUAUAAAAUUACACGAAGCCUUUUGGGGCUUUAAGACUUGAUCUCGAAUCAGACAAGACUACCCGCUGAACUUAA